rnacentral:lncRNA from 12 species
CGUUGUAUGUGUGAAUGAAUAGAACCUCAUCCAACCUUUUGAAGAAGCAUGACAGAUAUUGAUCUCCCUCUCUCAGGGUGCAUUCCAUAGGAGAAAUCCAAACUCACACCCAGAAUGAAACACAUUUCCUGGGCAGUCCCUGUGGCUCAGCGGUUUAGCGCCGCCUUCAGCCCAGAUUGUGACCCUGGAGACCCUGGAUUGAGUCCCACCUCUGGCUCCCAGCAUGGAGCCUGCUUCUCCCUCUGCCUGUGUCUCUGCCCCUCUCUCUCUCUCUCUCUGUGUCUCUCAUGAAUAAAUAAAUAAAAUCUUAAAAAAAAAAAAAAAGCA